UACAUUAUUAGUAUAUUUAGUAUGCUGUCUUUCCAAGUCAGAGGUCCAUUUUUUGGUUAAUGUAG
rnacentral:tRNA from 1 species